GCCCGAGUGGUGGAAUGGUAGACGCACUGGACUCAAAAUCCAGCGUCCGAAAGGAUGUGUCGGUUCGAGUCCGACCUCGGGCACCA
rnacentral:tRNA from 1 species